rnacentral:rRNA from 1 species
GACGAACGCUGGCGGCGUGCCUAAUACAUGCAAGUCGAGCGGAAUGAUGAAGAAGCUUGCUUCUUCUGAUUUUAGCGGCGGACGGGUGAGUAACACGUGGCAACCUACCUUGUAGAUUGGGAUAACUCCGGAAACCGGGGCUAAUACCGAAUAAUCCAUUUUGCUUCAUGGCGAGAUGUUAAAAGGCGGCUUCGGCUGUCACUACGAGAUGGGCCCGCGGCGCAUUAGCUAGUUGGUAGGGUAAUGGCCUACCAAGGCGACGAUGCGUAGUCGACCUGAGAGGGUGAUCGGCCACACUGGGACUGAGACACGGCCCAGACUCCUACGGGAGGCAGCAGUAGGGAAUCUUCCACAAUGGACGAAAGUCUGAUGGAGCAACGCCGCGUGAGUGAAGAAGGUUUUCGGAUCGUAAAACUCUGUUGUAAGGGAAGAACACGUACGAGAGUAACUGCUCGUACCUUGACGGUACCUUAUUAGAAAGCCACGGCUAACUACGUG